UGUCCUCUCCCUUACUAUCAUUCACGCACACUGUCCCUCUCUUCUAAUUUCAGUUUCAUUUUCUUUGUUUUGCUGCUUUAGACCCAUUUCUUUUCUUCUCCUCCUUAUUUCUCCCAAGCUACCGACCCACACUUCUCCAAUUUUCCCUUAAACUCUCCUUCAUUUCCUUUCUUGUUACAACAACCGAACCCUAUCACCAUCUUCAACUUAUCCUUCCUCUCAUCACCACCGUACCUCCUCUCUCAAUGGAGCAAGCAACCACGAGCUUCUCCUUCUUCACGUGAGCAACCGCCCCCACCUUGUGUCUCCAUCAAUGCGAGAACCAGCCUCAUUAUUCUUCUUCAUGAUGACAGCACCCAUACAACCUUGAUCUCUUCACGUUGCAGCACCACAAAUCACCAACAUCAUCAUGCUUUCCUCUCCCUCUUGCAGCCGCUGAUCACACCAUCACCAUCGCCAUGGUUUUCUCCUUAUAUGGCCAGCAAAGAAUCACCACCGCUAGCCAUAGCACCACCAACACCAUGCCAUGCUCCAAUUUCUUCUUCACCAAGAUCACCAUGUUUGAGACGUGCAAGCUUGGGACUCGAGGAAAUUGGAACGCUUGAGGAAAGGCGAAGGAGAAAGAAAUAUUGGCUAAGGCCCUAACAGGUAUGUCUCUGAGGAGCUGUUGAUUGCUGCAAGAAGGUGAUUGGACUGAUUGACGAUGAGACUUCCUUGGAGUGAGUGAACCAACCGAAGACUUGUGGAAGUAAUAGUUAGAUGUAAGGCUAGAGCCUUGGGUAGAGAAGCUUACCGUCAUUGGUUGAAGCUCGUAGGGAUGAUUGUAUUACUUACUUUGGUCUUGGGUAGGUUCUGAUGCAUUACUCUUCUGCGAAUCUCCAGUGAGGGGAUUGUAGGAAGUAUAUUGGACUUAGGGUGUUAUCGCAUUUUGAACUUUGUUGUCGGUUAAGACAUUACUUCAUUGUAUAUUUUAUGUCUUGAACAUCCGUCGUCACUCACGGGUGCUUGCCUUGACAAGGCCGGAUGUAAGGGUUUGGGUAAGAGUAUGCAUAUCAGGUUUUGGAAAUGUUUUGAGAAGAAAGCAAACAAAAAAAAAAUACCCUCUUUUAUUAAA